AGAUUGGAUCUUGAUGUAGGUGCAUGUUGGUUCAAGCAUGGAGAAGGUUGAGCUAUCCUCAGAUCUGAAGUUCUUGAGCAAAAUCCAAAUCGAGUGAUUCAAAGUUCCGCAGAUAGGUACUAAAAAGAUCUACAACUUGGCGUUGGUCUCAUCCUCAAAUUCGUUACGGAUUUUGCAUGAUCAAGAUCUGGUCAGAUCUGACUUUGUCGAAUUAAACCAGGAGCUUGGAAACGAAUUUUUGAAUGAAACCAACUGGGGGAUAAUUGGUUUAUACCAUGGUGAUAACCGAGAGAGACAAUUGCUAAGUUGUGAUGCACUCGU